CAUUUGUAUUUGGAAUUGUGGCUGAGACAGCUACGUUAGCAACUCACCUGGAAUAAGGGUAAUAUCAAUGACUGGAGUAUUAUUGCCAUCUCAUAUUCAGAAAAAAAGGAGUGUGAGGGAGGUUCCAGCACCAAUGCCUUCAUAGGGGCUGAUCCAUGGUGGGUUUAUGGCUCUGCAAACAAUAAUGUAGAAUACAGAGUCCUUGAAGCCAGUGGAGUAGAAAAUGAACCAAAAAGGCAAGGCCCAGGUGCUGCUGUCUGGGGGGAGACCAAGGCAGGAACAAGAGUUUGUCCCCCAGUGGGAAAGCUGAGAAUCCAACGUGGGAUAGCAACACUCUGCAUACAGACAGGGGAAGAAGUCAUGCAUUCAAACAGGAGCUGCAGAAAUUUGGGCAGCUCUCUUCCUCUCUUAGGAUUUCUGUCUCUGGCAGCAUGCAGGCAGGGAGAAGGGGAUGUGGUGCUUCCUGAGCUGUGCUCAGCCUGGCCGACAAGGUAUUGGAAAAAUGUGAUUAGAUUCUCUCAAGUCUUCUCUAGGCUUGAACAUACCCUGUUCCUUCCAUUUCGUUUCAUCUGUCGAGCCCUACUACCCUCUCAUCAUAUUGAUGGCUCUUUUCUUUCCAAGUUUUUUGUGUCUUUCUUGAAGUGAGGAGUCCAGGCCUUGACCUGGUGCUACAGAUGUGCCCUAACAAGUGCCAAAUGGACUGGAGUAAUCACAGCUUUCCAUUGGCUGAUUGUCCUCUUGUUAAUGCAACCUGUGACAAGGUUUGCCUUCCCUGCUGCUGGAGCACCCUGCUGAAACACAUCCAGGUUGCCACCCAUCAGGACCACCCAAGCUGUGCCUUCAAGUGCUGGCUGGGAUUGCUGCAUCCCAGGUGCAGCAUUCAGCAUUUAUCUUUGUUAAACUUCACCCAGGCCUUGUUGGCUUGCUUGCCGUUCACACUGCCAAGGUGAGUCCAUGAGGAAGCUCCUUCUUCCAGCAGAUCUGCCUCCUCUCCCAGUGUGCUGUCAUUUGUGCUCUUUGUGCAUCAUAAUCUGGUAAAUGAAGGUGUAGCCUGGCAGGAGGGACUCUGGGAUGCUCACAGGUAAAGGCUCAGCUGUUUGAGUUGGGUCAGAGCUCUAUUAUGUGGUACUCAAGUGUGAGCUCAGUGCUCAGCUUCCCUGAGAACUGGGAGAAAGAGGAGAGCAUUUUGAUAAAAG